GGCCCCAUCGUCCAGUGGCCUAGGACAUCGCCCUUUCAAGGCGGGAACGGGAGUUCGAGUCUCCCUGGGGCUACCA
rnacentral:tRNA from 1 species